rnacentral:rRNA from 1 species
UAGGGAAUAUUGCAAAAUGGGCGCAAGCCCGAUGCAGCAACGCCGCGUGGGCGAUGAAGGCCUUCGGGUCGUAAGGCCCUUUUUGAGGGGAUGAGGAAGGACAGUACCCUCAGAAUAAGCCUCGGCUAACUACGUGCCAGCAGCCGCGGUAAAACGUAGGAGGCGAGCGUUAUCCGGAUUUACUGGGCGUAAAGCGCGUGCAGGCGGAUUGGAGAGGUGGAUGUGAAAGCUCCCGGCUUAACUGGGAGAGGUCGUUCAAUACUUCCAGUCGUGAGUGCAGUAGAGGGAAGUGGAAUUCCGGGUGAAGUGGUGAAAUGCGUAGAUAUCCGGAGGAACACCAGUGGCGAAAGCGGCUUCCUGGACUGUAACUGACGCUCAGACGCGAAAGCUAGGGUAGCAAACGG